UCGGCCUGGUCGGCGGCGCUCGACCGCUCGGCCCCUCCUGCCCGAGGAAAACCACGUCGGGGCUGGGUUCACCACUCGGAGGGUCCGCCUCACCGAGAGAGUUGGGCAACGACUGUGUCAUCGGUCAGGGCGCUCCAAGGAGAAAUGGACCGAGUUUGAGAAGUGACUCAGAAGACUUCCCCCCCCCCACGUCUUGUGGUUCAGCGAUUGAGGUUGCCCCCUAAUGACAGACACGUGAGGCAUCUUGAGCGGAAGCUGUGUUGGAUGACAUCUGGAUUCUGAAGUACUAGGAAGCACCCUCAGGACAAAAAAUGGUGCCCCAACUCCCCCCAACAAGAAUGAGAGAAAGCAGAUUUACUAGAGCUCAAUGCCUAUUGAAACAUAGGCUAUAAAAUACAGAUGAAAUUCGUUUUAUAGUCUCGUUUAUACCUCCACGCAGAUGCAGAGAUGGAAAACAGAAAGAAAGGUUUCUUCAUACGUCCAGUUAUUUCUAGUUCAUCAGAAUCAAGCUUGAAACGAAGCUCAAAGGAAAUCUGACUACUCUGGCGGGCAGCGUGAGAAGCGGCAACCUGAAUGACAUGCAAGCAGGAGGGUCAGUUCCCAGCACAGCCUGAAUGAGAAGAGCAACUCAUCUUCCGUGAGCCAGACGCCUUUUGAAUUUAUCAGUGCGUACUCCAUCGGAAACCAGGUGCUGUUCCCAAAGGAGAAAACACUGCCCUCCAGUGGUCUUCCCUGGUGAAAUGGAAGUAGCUUCAGGUACCAUGACUGCAGCACUUCACAAAACAUUGUGUGGAAACCAGGCUUCUUGGAAGACUUCAAACUAUGCCAAAUGGUCUGAUUUUACCAUAGAGAGUCCAUUGCUGUGUUCCAUGGAACAGACAAAACUCAGCAAGACAACAAAGACUUGAUCUGCAGGAGAGAAGUGAUUUAGGUUGCAUUGUGCGGUGAGGAGAGCUGCAGCAGCCGAGGCGCCGGAUCUCUCUGUUCACCGCGAGGCUCGGGAUCGCAGAGGGCACUUCCGAGGCUGCACCUGGGGAGCUGGCGUCCACCGGAGGGAGCAAGCGCGGGGCCAGGGCCACUAAUAGUGACUUGAUUUGUUACCAGCCCUUGGUUCCCUUCGUCAUUAAUGUACAUUUCCUGUCUGCGUGGAACACCGAGGAAGGCCUCCUCGCCCAAGUGCCUUCAUGGGAGCCUCCAUCUCUCGCAUGGGUUCUUCUUCUUCUUCUUCUUUUCUUCUUCUUUUUCUUUUUCUUUCCUGGGACAUCAGAAAGUACCUUCUUUCCUCUUCUUGCAAGAACCGACCACUCCUCGGAAGCCGUUAGGAGGCCCCAAUCCUCCCCCCCCCCCCCCCCCACUGGCCAUCCUAAUCCACUUGCUCAAAACACAAGAACAAAGCAAGCCCCCGAAGAACCAGAGUUAGACCCACCUCGAGCAGCGCAAGUGCAACACACUCAUCCUGACGUAGCUAACCUAAGAGGAAAGUAGAUUGUUUUCCUUUUUUAGUCGCUAGCUUUAUUAGAUUUCUCACUCUCACAGAUUAUCCGAAGACUACCCAUUGAUUGAUCGCCCGUAGAGCUGCAUUUGGUGUAAAGAAAAAACUCACAGCUUUAUUGGCUCCCAGGAGACAAAACAAACAGAACAAGAUAUUCAUAUUAAUGCAAAC